UUGUUGUGAGACGUCACCUUCAGGGCUGAGCAGAGGUUACGCCCCACAACAAACCGCACGCCCGUGGCUACCUGACUCCAGCUAAACUUGGGCUCCCUCGUAGACCGAGAAAAUUCGAAUACUUCGACCUAUGCAAGAUAUCAUGCGGAAAUCUCAGCAGUGCUUGGGAUGAAAAGAAAUGAAAAAAAUCUGCGUAUUGGCGUUUGAAUAAUUCAUCGUAGCUUUCACAUAUAUUAUACUGGCAGAGGAAAGUUGAAAUUGUUGGUAUAUAUCUACAGAUAAAUUUAUUCUGUAGCACAGCGAGAUGGGGAAGUCGUAAAACAUUUCGCUCAGUAUUACACGUAUAUAGCAAAGAAAUGUUGAGGAAAAAUAGGGGUAAAAAAAUGAAAAAAACAUUAAAAAAUAGAUGAGAUAGAAGUAAUGUAGAUAACAAAAAAAAGGGAGGAAAGUUCGACAAUUUUCAAAGUUAUUUUUGCGGAUCAAUAAUACAUACGGGGAUGUUUAUUGGCUAAGGGGUCUUAACCAAUAGAAAUUCAGGGAGAUAUUCACCCUCCAAAGUUAUUUUGUAGGCGUGAUUUACCUCACGGAACCUGCGCACCUCCGGAAAAUGAUUCUAUUGGAGAGACCGAACAACCAAUGGGGUGACUUUCUUGUGGUAAAAAGUUAGGUGUAUAUACCUAUGUAUAGCGAAAUCAGUUGUACAUACAUAGGUAGGUAUGUAACAUAGGUAUACAUACAGUAUUCCACAUUAAGGGGGUUGCGAGAAAAUCAAAAUGAAAGUUAUAGAAAAAAGGGCGAAAAAUAAAUUUUAUUUUUUCAUGAUUUUCAUCUUCUUUCUUCUAUUCUUUAUUCAGACUAAUUUUGCCCUACGAUGUGGAAGAAAUUAAAACGAAUCCGUUUUUGUACGAAUUUUUUCCUCGAGGAUCUGGAUUGCGAUGCAAUAUAAUUUUUUUUCUUUCUUUCCAUACGUAUUUGAUUGACAUUAUCACGAUUGGAUGAUCGGUGUACAAAUUGAGACAAAGAUCAAAUGAAUAACAUGAAUAUCAAUUGACAACGCAACAUUUAUAAUUGCAAUUGCAAGCGUGAUUUUAAUCGCGAGGAAUAUUUCAGAUGUUGAAAGAUAUGAGAUAUAAAUACGACAUCGCUCUGCGUUGUAAUUCUAUAUUGUGGGGUGCAGGCGAGGCUCCCCCAUGUACAGAUAGAUGCGUAUAGAUAUAUAUUAUACAUAUAUCAUAUAAAAUAAAUUCCCGUGACUGCACAGAAAUAAAUGCACAAUAACUGCCGUACCGUAGAAACUUUAUAGCUAUCUACUUGAAUAGUUUUGUCGCGGGGUCAUCCGCGAGUAGUUAUAAGUAUACGGGAGACGAGAGAUGCGACUGGGUAUGAGGGGAAGAAGAGAUGGUGGAAGAAAAAAAUAAAGGGGGGUUGAAAAUGAGGGGGCGAAUAAUGUCGUUCCGUUUUAUUCGCGGUAUAUAGGCGAGCCGAAGUUCUAGCUGCUGUAUAAGGGAUGAAAACGAUGGAUAGUUUCGAGGCUGUUGACUCAUGUUAAGUGCUUAGUAUAAGUUAGUCGGGGGUUGUUGGCGCGGGAUGAAAAAGGGGAUGAAAAGAAAAUAUAUUGGCUUCGAAUGUCCACAUAGAAAAUAUACCGUAUACGUACAACCCUCACCCCCUCCCAACGAUGCUCCGCAGAAACAUCUAUUAACUUAACGGAGUUUCAAUGCGAAUUUAAUAAUAAUGCCGUAGCGGAGCGUACAUCCCAUAAAUUAUGCAAGGUUCGAUUCGAGUUUAGCACUUGAUUCACCUUUAUAUCUGCAUUUUCAAAAAAUUUUAUCCGGAGUAAAAAAAAUUGUUUUUUAUUUUAUAACUGUCUCACUAAAAAUAAAGAAAAGUAAACAAAAAAAAAUUGUAAAAUUAUAAAUUUUAGGUAACCCAUAAAUUGGUCGAAGUAAAAAGUUCAUUUACAAAUGGAACGAAAAUCUCAGCCAUUAAUCCACGCUGAUUUGAGGGAAACUCGGGGGUGAUUUUCCGCUGCUCAAUUCAAGGGAUGAUAAGGGAUCACAAGGACAUUUCUCGACUGACGACAACACCACGACCAAUGGUUCCAGACUCCUGAAAGACAACGAAUUAAUUCAAGAGGGUUGAAUAAUUCAGCACGUGCAGUGGAUGUCGGUGGCGUUACUUAUCGGCAUUUGCUAAAAUUUGGCGGUUUUCUAAGAUGGGGAAGAUUUUUAUUGGGAAAACAUUGUUCCAAUAUAGGUGACAAAUUACCUUGCAAAUUACUCAUAAUCAGAGCUCGAACUUCUUGUUCAGGUCCUCAAGAGCAGCACUAAUUGAGCAACAAUCAAUUACCAACUACGACGCAGCACUUGGCGUCAUGAUGAACAUCCGAUCCCAUCCGAAACCCGCACUCUCCGCGAAUAAAUUCUUCGUCCUUUAUCCAAACAACCGAUACUGGUUCUUCUGAAUCUCUACAGGAUUUCACAAAUGUCUGGACGAGUCGUUGGUUGUUCGGCAAAAAUGAAUACGAGGCACUUCCUAUCACUGCGGAUACACGAAUGAAUAUGGGGCACAGAACGUUCGCGAACCUUCUAGAUUGCGAUGGUUUAAACAAAAGACAGUCUCGGGCUUCGAGAAGCUUCUUGAGGAAAAGUCGGUUAGCAACAGCGAGUGAGUCGAAAUAAAUCGUAGAAGCAAUCGUGUAAUCAAGGCUAGCCUCUAUAAUAAUUUUUGAUAUAAUUUAUCAUUCAAAACUUACCGAUACUGGUUUCUCUGAAUCCCUACACGAUUUCACAAAUGUCUGGACGAGUCGUUGAUUAUUCGGCAAAAAUGAAUACGAGGCACUUCCUAUCACUGCAGAUACAAGAAUGAAUAUGGGGCACAGAACGUUCGCGAACCUUCUAGAUUGCGAUGGUUUAAACAGAAGACAGUCUCGAGCGUCGAGAAGCUUCUUGUGGAAUAGUCGGUUAGCAACAUUUUGAUCCAGACUAGUAACGGUCGAACUCUUACUGUCCAUUUUUGAUGCAUCGGAAGGAACCCCCGACUUCAGUUGCUCUCCUGAUUUCAAGGGCUGACUUCCGCCAAGUCCACCACGAUCGCUGUAAAGCUUUUGAGAAUAAUCUGGAAGAUUUUCACGAACAACCGUCUCCGGCCUGGUGUCUCGGGUCGUUGUACUUACUUAUCUAGCUGUGACUAGUCAUUAUUUCGACUUGCAUGCAUGAUGCAGAUCUACAAGGGUCUACGAUCGGAAUAUCAGAUUCCAGACUGCAAUAGCUGGCACAUGAAUGUCACUCAUAGACUCUUCCACCGAUGCGACAAACAUUCAAUCUUGCUUUCCUUGAUGAAGUCUCCUCGUUCGAUCGAUCUUCGACCAUCGGCACAAUGCAGCAAUUCUUGAGGCGAUCUUCUUGGUCAUUGUCUAAACUUUUUGUUUGAUGAUCAUCAACUACAUUCAUCCUGUGAUCAUCUACUCGCAACAAGUUCCUCACACUACCUUCGACAUAUUGGACUCAUCGCCCCUUCUUCAACUUACUAGACAGCUAAAGCCAUCAGGGAAGCAGAGAUUCUGGGUAAAAUCCAAGACUCUCGAGAUCUUGGAGGCGGCUCGAGUCUGGACUUGGUACCAGCAACGAUGGGGAAAGAAAAAACAAAAUCGAAGAAUGAAAAACGAAGAAAGAAGAAUGAAGAAAGAAGACAGUGAGAACAAUAAAUGAACAUUUCAGUUUAAGGUUCGAUGUGAUAUUAAAUAAUUUAAUUAGAGUAUAAAAACUUUAUGAAAAUGACAAUAAUCUGAUGUAUGAGCGGAUUUAAUUACAAGCAUAGAUGUAUUGAACGUAUUAUAUUUUUCAAUGCUAUCAUAAUUAUAAGAAAAUAAGUAAAUUAGGUAAAAAAUUAAUUAUAAGUUUAGCAUCUAAGGAACAACUGUAAGUACAUUUAGUGGUCAGAAACCCCCACCCAAAGAUGCCCGUAAUAGUAUCAGAUAAUAAAAGAAUAGGAUGUCUAAUCAUAUGAGAAUUUUCUUUUCUUCACACAGAUAUCUUUCAGCCCUUAAGAUUUUUCAUGAUAAAUUGACCUACAUGAUAUUAAUUCAAUUCUUUCACUAGUAAUAUAAAUCUUCAAUGAUAACUGCAUUCAUUCACAAGUAAUCCAGCUCAUUGAAUUUUUUCAAUCGCAUUUGUAGUCAUUUGAUGUAUAAAUCAUUCAGAGAUUAUUAUAUUUUGGCCAUUCAGAACACACACCUUUUCAAAAUUUUAUAAAAUUUUUGGCUUCUGCCAGGGCAUGGGCAGCCCGUACUAUAUUUUUACAAACAACAGGUAUUGGUGACUCUUUGAACGAAAUACCACGGCAAUGAAUGUGAUAUGUAUGAGUAAGAUUGGUAUGAAUAAAAUGUACAAACACAUGGGAAUUUUCUUUCCCUACAAACACAGCCCUUAAUUUUUUAUCAUUAAAAAUAUACAAAUUUGAAUCAUUUCGGCCUAAAAAACACACACCUC